rnacentral:sRNA from 1 species
GUGAUACUUUCAUUAGCUAUGACUGAAGUGACCGAAGUGGCCUCUGGACUUGAGUUUUGUGCUUUUGUUUGUUUAAUCAUCCUGGGUUGUGUGUUCUUCACUUUAUCUUAAACCUAACCAAAGGAUUCAUUAAAAUAUGCCGUCUUCCUAAUUUCUGCUGUUUUAAGAUGGCUGAGAAUGUUCUUAGGAAAUUGAAGACUCUGCUUUUCUGUGGAUCAGCUUCAGAGACUACUUAGAAGAUGAACUGUUCUCAUCAGCAACAUGCUAUUGUGUCAUCUUUUAGGACUAGGUAAUGCUCCAGUGACUUAAUACCAAUGACAUUUUCAUGUUGUCCACAAAUUCUGAGUAGAAACAUUUUCAAGCCUGUAGCCUCUCUGAGAGCUGACUGUUAUUAACUGAAUGAGAGGAUGUCAGCAAACAGAGUUAAUAGAGUGGAUACAACCUUGCUGAAGAUGAAGAAUAUACAAUAUUGAGGAUUUUUUUUCUUUUUUUUUUCAAGUCUUGAUUUGUGGCUUACCUCAAGUUACCACUUUUCAGUCAAGUCUGUUUGUUUGCUUCUUCAGAAAUGUUUUUUACAAUCUCAAGAAAAAAUAUGUCCCAGAAAUUGAGUUUACUGUUGCUUGUAUUUGGACUCAUUUGGGGAUUGAUGUUACUGCACUAUACUUUUCAACAACCAAGACAUCAAAGCAGUGUCAAGUUACGUGAGCAAAUACUAGACUUAAGCAAAAGAUAUGUUAAAGCUCUAGCAGAGGAAAAUAAGAACACAGUGGAUGUCGAGAACGGUGCUUCUAUGGCAGGA